rfam:Candidatus Staskawiczbacteria bacterium RIFCSPHIGHO2_01_FTLL_34_27 rifcsphigho2_01_scaffold_20686, whole genome shotgun sequence.
GCCCCUAUAGCUCAAUUGGCAGAGCAGGUGCCUUUUAAGCACUUGGUUCCAGGUUCGAGUCCUGGUGGGGGCA